UACGUAGGGGGCAAGCGUUGUCCGGAAUCAUUGGGCGUAAAGAGCGUGUAGGCGGUCCGGUAAGUCGGCUGUGAAAGUCCAGGGCUCAACCCUGGGAUGCCGGUCGAUACUGCCGGACUAGAGUUCGGAAGAGGCGAGUGGAAUUCCCGGUGUAGCGGUGAAAUGCGCAGAUAUCGGGAGGAACACCUAUGGCGAAGGCAGCUCGCUGGGACGUUACUGACGCUGAGACGCGAAAGCGUGGGGAGCAAGCAGG
rnacentral:rRNA from 1 species